CUUGCCAAAUUAUAAGAGGUCCAGCCUGCCCAGUGACUCUGUUCAACGGCCGCGGUAUCCUAACCGUGCGAAGGUAGCGUAAUCACUUGUUCUUUAAAUGAGGACUAGUAUGAAUGGCCCCACGAGGGCUGCACUGUCUCCUUUUUCUAAUCAAUGAAACUAAUCUCCCCGUGAAGAAGCGGGGAUAACCAUAUAAGACGAGAAGACCCUAUGGAGCUUAAAACAACUGAAACAUUUGCUUUUACCUUAACUGCCUCCGAGCUCUUUAUUUUACCUAAGCAUCUUUAUUUCUAGUUUUAGGUUGGGGUGACCACGGAGCAAAACUAAACCUCCACGAAGAAAUGAAUACUUUUUAAGCCACAAACUACUUUUUUAAGCAUCAACAAAUUGACCUUCAUUGACCCAAUAUAUUGAUCAACGAAC
rnacentral:rRNA from 1 species